rnacentral:rRNA from 1 species
AGCAGCCGCGGUAAUUCCAGCUCCAAUAGCGUAUAUUAAAGUUGUUGCAGUUAAAAAGCUCGUAGUUGAAUUUCGGGAUCAGUUGGUCGGUCGUGCCUCGGUACGUACUGGUCAAAUUGAUUCCUACCUUCUGACGAACCACGAUGUCAUUAAUUUGGUGUCGCGGGAAAUCAGGACUGUUACUUUGAAAAAUUAGAGUGUUUAAAGCAGGCUCGCGCUUGAAUACAUUAGCAUGGAAUAAUGAAAUAGGACGUUUGAUUCUAUUUUGUGGUUUCUAGGAUCGACGUAAUGAUUAAUAGGGAUAGUUGGGGGCAUUAGUAUUCAAUUGUCAGAGGUGAAAUUCUUGGAUUUAUUGAAGACUAACUACUGCGAAAGCAUUUGCCAAGGAUGUUUUCAUUAAUACAAGAACGAAAGUUAGGGGAUCGAAGACGAUCAGAUACCGUCGUAGUCUUAACCAUAAAUUAUAGCCGACUAGGGAUCGGAUGAUGUUAAUUUUAU